rnacentral:rRNA from 1 species
UACGUGAGGGGCGAACGUUGUUCGGUGUCACUGGGCUUAAAGGGUGCGUAGGUGGUUUGAUAAGUUAUCUGUGAAAUUCCUGGGCUUAACCUGGGCCGGUCAGAUAAGACUGUUAGACUUGAGUAUGGGAGAGGGUAGUGGAAUUUCCGGUGUAGCGGUGAAAUGCGUAGAGAUCGGAAGGAACACCAGUGGCGAAGGCGGCUACCUGGCCCAAUACUGACACUGAGGCACGAAAGCGUGGGGAGCAAACAGG